CCGUGGUGAUGAUCUGCUCCCGAGGCUGAGCUACGGGAAAUCCAUGUGAAUGGAUGACAGGAAACAAGCCCCAGGCAUUCCUGCUCCCUGCUGGGCGGGUCCCAGGUCCUCAGCGCUCGGCAGACCGCCCCCGCUUCACUCCAGCAUCCUGGGAUGGGUACCAUCGACAUCCCCACCACAGAGGAAGAAGCCGGGCGCAGAACGGCACCGUGACUCGCCCAAGCUCGCUUCCCCGCGACUAGGUAGAGCCGAGAUUUGAACCCAUGACUCAGGAGUCCAAGGCCACAGCCAGGAGAGCCAGGUGGACCGUUCUCGUACAAGUCUGCUCUUUACCCAGAGCUCCAGGGUGGACUCUGGACCCCAGUCCAGGGGAGCCCCAGGGUUUGGCUUCUCCUUCUUGUUCCUCCUUGGACUCAGCCACCUGGCGGUCAGGGACCCCUGCCUCCCCAGGUGACCCCAGGAUAUUGGCCAGCCAUUUGGCAGGCUGCAAGGAUGGAGGGCAGGUGGUUACGGGGCAGCCACCUGGUGCUGGGUUGGUGAGCAGCCCUGCGGGAGCUCUGGGUUUACAAUGCAGAUUCUUGCUGGACGGGUCUCCUGUCACUACACCGGAGUCCAGGCUUGGAAUUUCUUCCCGAUUUUGAGAAUUGGUUCACUCUUGGCCCUGACCUCUUGCUGGUUCACCAACCGGCCUGUUCCUGAGCAGGAGGUCCAGGCCCCUGCGGUCACAGGGCAGACCCUCCCCUACAGCUCCUCUUGGAGACCCUCAGUCGAUUAGGCUCAAGUGGGUCCCACCAGCCAGCACACAUGGGCACCAGGCGCCCUGGGAAAUCCAGGGUGGCUUCCUGGGGGAAGCAACGUUUCCGAGUUCCUUUCAUAUUCACAGCUGAUUGAGCAGCCUUAGAGGAGCUGGGAAAACCAGGACCGAGGAGAGAGAUGGUCCUCGCCCUGGAGGGACUCGGGCUCCAGGCUCCUGACAACCAUGAUUGGAUAGGAAUUUCAGAUAGUUGAAAACCCUGUGGAUCAGACCAGGGGCCAGAGAGUGAGGGCUGCAGGGGGUCAUCCAGGCGGUCAAGGGGGCCUCCGAUGACCCAGAGCUGCUCUGCCCAGUGUAGGGAAGAGCAGGCGGUGAGGCCCGGAGGGCAGAGCGUGCAAAGCCAGGAAGGGCCUUGGGGCCCUGGCAGGACUCGGGUUUUAAGCCCCCACUGGAGGCUUCUGAGCAGGGAAGGCGGCCGACGGGCUCCCUGGGGUGAGUGGACAGUGGAGGGGAGCAGGGAGCUGGGGGCCACUCAGGGAACAGGGCCAGGAGCCCAGCAGGCGGCAACCGCGAGUAAGAUGGAAAGGAAGUGGGGAGCCCAGAAAUGGCGGUGUAGGGAGGACACAGGAAGUGGCGCCAUCUGCAAAUGCUUCUGCCCUGGGAGAGCAGGAAGGCAGCUGUUCAAGGUGACUCCUGGGUUUGGGCUUGAAUGAUAGUAAACAAACGGUGAGGCUAGUUUUUAAGAUGAAAAAAAUAUAAAUAAAUACCAGGAUGGAAC
rnacentral:lncRNA from 1 species